AAGCAUUGGUUGAAGAUAAGGCCAAGUUCGACAUCGUUACCGAAUGUUUCUUAGACAAAGGACCAUGUAGCAAAAUAGCACAGAGUUUUAGAGAUAUAGUCCCUGAUACUAUAACAGGAGCAUGUGAUAAAUGCAACGAUGCAGUGAAGCAUUUGGCUAAUACAUAUAUGCACGGUCUGGAGAAAAACAAUCCUAAAUAUUACGACGAAUUCCUCAAGAAAUACGACCCCGAUGGCAUAUACAUGGAAAAAUUUAUGGAAUCCAUUGCAGGUUUCUGAGACACUGCUCAAGUACAACUAGUAAUAAAAGUCAUAAUUUCUGA